rnacentral:snRNA from 1 species
GGAUGUGAGAGGCUUUCUGGCUGCGACAUCUAUCACUCCAGAGGUCACCAGGGUUGAUCGGGCUGAUCUGGCUGACGAGGAAGGUGUCCCCUUCCUCCCUCACUGCUCCGUGGGCAUCCCUUCCCUCGAAGCUUCACGCUCAGUGAAAAAGGACGACCACCCCCCAUAGCAGAGGACCUUUUUGUUUCCUUGGUCAAGCAUAUAGAGUGUAGAAAUAGUUGUGCUCUCCUGCUAGAACCUCCAAACAAGCUCUCAAAGAUAAGUGCAGUAGAUCUACACCAGUAAUUCAAUGUAGUAGGUGCAGAAGAAAAUUGUGCUAUGUAAUCAGUU